GCGGACGUGGUGAAAUGGUAGACACGCUACUUUGAGGGGGUAGUGGGCGUUUAGCCUGUAUGAGUUCGACUCUCAUCGUCCGCA
rnacentral:tRNA from 1 species